ACUUUCAUCUCUCAAUAUGCACGAAUCGCGUCUGGGUUUCUUUGUUAUCAGUUUUGUGGUUAUCUUGGAACGGAUGGCUGGACAAGAUCCACAGCCUAUCGAGCUCCAAAAUUUUACUAGUCCAGUACUUUUCAUUGCAUUGGGAAACCAAGCUAAAACUAGGAAAUGGGAGGGACGUUUACCAAGUGCUCCUCGAAGAACAAAUCCGAAAUCUGAUAUCGAACCGAUGAAUAAAACAAUAAAAGUGCAAAGUGCUGAAAGCUAAAGUGCUAAGCUAAUAAAUUGAAGUCUACAGUACAGUUUUUAUAAGGCGAUUCUUCUGCUCUAAAGUUUUAACGCAUAUUAGUAACAUUUAUUUGACGUAUUAUCUACAAUUGGUCACUCCAUGUCAUUCCAUGAUCCGCCUCGAAGGACCAAAGCCUCUUUCUGGAAGCUCUAGCCAAGAUCGGAGGAGCAUUUUGAAAGGAGUGUAGAAAGAAGUGGCCUCACGAGGCACCAAGAUUUAUACACCAAUUUGCCAAGUUGUAUUGUAAAACUAAUAAAUUGUCGCCGCUAACUUGAAUAA